rnacentral:lncRNA from 1 species
UGUGUGGAGGUGAGCUCACAUUUAGAUGAGCGUAACGCCCCACCCCACCCCCGCUUGUAAGCAGCCUUCACUGACCCAGCUCCCCCUCAUUUCUUUUGGCGGUGCCCCCAGGACAUACAAGUUCUCAGGCCAGGAGUGGGACCCAUGCCUCAGCUGUGACCCCAGCCACAGCAGUGACAAUGCCAUAUUUAACCUGCGGCAUCCCAAGGGAACUUUGCCUUAAUUAUUUGGGGGCUCUUUAACCACCCCUCUAGAUAACCCCUCGGACUUAUGGCUCCCUUCUACUAACAGAGGCUUAAUUGUUUCCCAGAAACUUGGAGUUGGCUGCUGUCCAGGUCAAGAUGGCGAAGACUGGUUGGGACCACCAGCCCUAACACUGGGCCUGUGAGGUUCCCAUCGUGGCUCAGCAGUAACAAACCCGACCGGUUUGCAUGAGGACUUGGGUUCAAUCCCGGGCCUCGCCCAGUGGGUUAAGGAUCUGGCGUUGCUGUGGCUGUGGUGUUGGCCAGCAGCUGAGGCUCCAAUUCCACCCCUAGCCUGGGAACUUCCAUGUGCCACAGGUUCAGCCCUAAAAAGACCCAACAACCAACCAACCAACCAACCAACCAAACAAAACCUGGGUUUAUGCAGGUGUCUUAGGAACAACAUUUAGACUGCAGUGACAACACUGGAUACCCAAGCUGCUGUGCCACGGGAGAACUCCCACAGCCCCAUUUUUGAACAGAACAUCCCAUGAGGAAGCAUGGAACUCAGAUACCUCGCCUUUUCCCUACCUCAGUUUUCCCCACACCUAAGACCACCUGCUUCUUCAUCCCAUAACUAUCUCAAGGCCCUCACCUUCCGGGGGGAUGCAGGCAAGGCUAAGGCGGGAGUAGGCUGCAGGUGGAGGAGGUUAUGAAGAGGGGGUUGCAGCCAUGGUGCAGCGUCUUAGGAGACAGACCCCCACAGGGACAGACGUCCAGCCUCCACCUGCAUAGGUGCCUGGCACUUUGGGAGACCUUGGCUGCAGGAGGGGACUGGGGGUGACCAGAAAGAAACAGCAAGUGGAGCCCCAGGAGGGUGGUAAUGGCUGGGAGCGAGAGCCACGAGGGGGGAGAACUGAUCACCCUAGAGAGAGGCAGGGAGGUGAGGCCUGGGGGAGACCAGGCCCACCAGCUGAAGGGAAGGUGCCAGCUGCCCAGGUAUCCAAGCUGCCGGGCUCCAGGGAGUUUCGCAGCAGGGCCGAUCUCCAGCGACCGUCUAUGUUUGACUCAGUUUAUUUUAGUUGACUUUAUUUUAUUUUUACUUUUAUGCCUCCCCCACCCCGCGCCGCAUGUGGAUGUGCCUAGGCUAGGGAUCAAAUCGGAGCUGUAGCCGCCGAUCUACAGCACAGCCAGGGCAACGCCAGAUCACAGCUGCUUCUGCAGCCUACACAGUGGCUCAUGGCAACGCCAGAUCCUGAACCCACUGAGUGAAGCCAGGGAUCCAACCCUCAUCCUCAUGGAGACUAGUUGGGUUCUUACCCUGCCGAGCCACAAGAGGAAAUCCCAAAACCACUUUUUCUUCUCUACGAACUAGGAAAUGAUUCAGUGCCUGGUCUUCACCCACGUUCCCCCCUAUGGAAUAGUUAGCCUUUUAGUAUAAGUUUGAGGUGCUCUUUGUAUGUUAGAAAGGUGAGUACAUCUUCUGGGGUUUGGGUUGCUCUUACUUUCCUUGUUUUAUCCUGCAUCACCUGGAACCGAUGUGACACUCCUGGGCAGGAGUGGACCAGCAGCUGUUCCUGCCCUCAGGGCACACUCAGCCCAGGAUGGGGACGAAGACACCUGCCCAAGAGGCCAGAACACCAGGCAGGACAAGGAGGGAGUCGGCGAGAAAUGGACAGAUGGUUGGGUGUCUGGCCCGUAGCCACCGCCUUCUCAGGGAAGCCAAAGGAGUGAGCAGAAGAUGGUCUGACGCUCACAGAUCUGAACAGAGGUCCAGGGAUGGGAGGCUGAAGAGUCUGGUCGGGAGCAGGCUGAGCCUAGGAUAUAUUGUCUCAGUUCACCCUCUUCUGUCCAUUCAGUCAACGAAUACAGGCGCGGAGGAGACAGCAGCAAAUACAACCCCUGCCAUCGAGGGGAAGAGCAGUCCAGCACUAAUUUCGGUGUAUCUGUGAUGACAGCUAUACAUCUGUGUGUCUGUGUGCCCACCUCAAUGUCUAUACACAUGCCACGUGACACUCAUGGGUGUCAAUAGCAACGUAGCAGGUGGCAGAAACAUAAAUAGGUAAAGCGGGAUGUGAAACAGGAAUGCUCAGGGUGGGUAAGUGGAGACAGUGCACAGCACUGAAGUGGAAUUCUCUCUCUCUUACAGACAAGAAGUGACUUUCCCUAGAGGGCCCUUAUUCAGACAGCCCCAUGCGCCUGCCCUUCCAUGUGUAGCUUCACAGGCAGCCUAAUCAGACAGGCAUUGUCAUUCUCCCUAUUUUAUUUUAUUUUUUACUUUAGGAGGGCACCCUCAGCAUAGGGAGGUUCCCAGGCCAGGGGUCAACUCAGAGCCAUAGCUGCCAGCCUACACCACAGCCACAGCAACCAUGGAUCUGAGCAGCAUCUCCCACCUACAACCACAGCUCACCGAAACGCUGGAUCCUCAACCCAGUGAGCCAAGGCAGGCCAAGGACGGAACCCAAGUCCUCGUGGAUACUAGUCAGGUUCACUAUUGCUGGCCAUAACAA